rnacentral:rRNA from 1 species
UACGGGGGGAGCAAGCGUUGUUCGGAUUUACUGGGCGUAAAGGGCGCGUAGGCGGCGUCCGCAAGUCAGUUGUGAAAUCUCCGAGCUUAACUCGGAAAGGUCAACUGAUACUGCGGGGCUAGAGUGCGGAAGGGGCAACUGGAAUUCUUGGUGUAGCGGUGAAAUGCGUAGAUAUCAAGAGGAACACCUGCGGCGAAGGCGGGUUGCUGGGCCGACACUGACGCUGAGGCGCGAAAGCUAGGGGAGCGAACGGG